GUAACCACAGUGUCGGCAUGCUCCUUCAGAAGGUUCUUGUAUGUUUUAGUUUGGUCUGGAGAAGGGUCUUGGAGAAGGUCCAUAUGGUUCAUGUGGCUGUGAGGAAACACUGACGUGAGCCGUCCGUGGUCAUGUUGUCCAUCUACAGCGAAAGCAUUACUUCCCAGCAGACACUCUGCAGCUGCUCUAAGUGAUUUGUUGCCUUAACUCACCCAAUCUCAACUGCAAGAUUAGCAGGUUGUACUUUCUUAGAAGUAGGCAUCCCAGUGUUUCUGGUCCACCUCCCCCAAACCUUGCUUCUCUGUUAAAUGUCUGCUUCCUCCCUUGUCCUUGAGCCGGGUAGGCAUUUAUGAUCAUGUUGGCAAGCACCAUACAGCAGAAGUGAAGUGAUGCUGAGUGUCUCCGAUGACUUGGUGCCUGUUUUUAAAAUGGAAGAAAGAAGUUGGCCAUCUGUACGAAUGGACAUCUCCAUUGGCCACUCAUUUAACAGUGAACAGCUAGCACCAUGCUUGUAGGAAAAGUUUUGCACUUUUCAAAGAUACUGGCAGAACCAGCAUGAAGACACUUGUACGAUGUGUUGAAGAAAUAUCAUGAUCAUAUCAUAGAAUAAACGACAACACAGAAGCUCCAUAGUGUGCUGUAAGCAAUCAUGGAGCAGCUCUGAUUUGCUCAUACCAUGAAACCAUUGUACAGGCAGGUGUGAGCUUAUGUAUGAAUUUCUUAGGGUGUCUUUUUAUGUGUCAUCCUCAACAUAGCCUAUACAAAGUGAAUCCUCAUAAAAAUAAAAUCCCUCAUAGAGGAAGGGGAGCUAAAUUCUUUGGUGGUGUUGUAUAGCCACUGGUAAGUUGCCCUUGGUCAAAUAAAUGACUCCCACACUCA